rnacentral:rRNA from 1 species
GGAAUAUUGGACAAUGGGCGAAAGCCUGAUCCAGCUAUCCCGCGUGCAGGAUGACGGCCCUAUGGGUUGUAAACUGCUUUUGUCAGGGAAUAAACCCCCUCAUUUACUGAGGGGCUGAAGGUACCUGAAGAAUAAGCACCGGCUAACUCCGUGCCAGCAGCCGCGGUAAUACGGAGGGUGCAAGCGUUAUCCGGAAUCACUGGGUUCAAAGGGCGCGUAGGUGGCUUGAUAAGUCAGUGGUGAAAGCCCA